ensembl:lncRNA
GAGCAAGAUGGCGGCGGCUGGCGGACUGCGGCUACGAUGUCUGCUCUAGAUCUGCAACAACGCAUUGGUACUGCGUUCUAGCGGCGGACCGCCUGCGAUGCCAGCAGGCGACUUGGACCACAGCUGCAGACUAGCGGACUGCGGGUGAGUCGCCCCCCUUUAGCCAACGCCACUGUUAGCCACGGUGGAGCGAACAGGUAAGCUAGCCGGCUAACGUCCCCUGGACGCCCAACGUUACGGCCGCUCGUAUGCUAACAAGCUAGCCGCGGCGCGGUGAUCCACCACCCCGAAGCCUCAACGUGUAGCUUUAGCUAGCAAAGAGGUUAAGCUAACAUCGGCCACUGAGUCCACGCCGGCUAAAGGUGGGUACCGACACACGGCCACACAAUUAGACCGCGCACAGGUAGACAACAACACAAAGGCACACAGACUAAGGUGAGUGGGAGGAGCUUUGUGUGUGUGUGUGUGUGUGUGUGCUGAGGUGUGUGUGUGUGUGUGUGUCCACCUAGGUGCUGAGGUGUGUGUGUGUGUGUGUGUGUGUGUGUGUCCACCUAGGUGCUGAGGUGUGUGUGUGUGUGUGUGUGUGUGUGUGUGUGUGUGUGAUUUGACCCUCUGAUGAAAUGCAGCGUGUCGGAGGAUCGAUCCCUGCCAUUGAAGCGCACAUGAUGGGCUGGCUGCUCUCUCAGCGGGUCACGAUGCAGAUGUGUUAUUGUUGGGUUCAGAUAAGUAAGACGUGUAGGUAGUAGCACUACCGCAGUAACUAAUCAUCACAGCAGCUGCGCCUUCAGGUCCGUCACUGGAGUUGUUGCUGACCGGCAGGCGAGAUGCAACCAAGGAGGGAGACGUUUAAUUUACGUCACUGAACAGAGCCUGGACGCUUCAUAAUGUAACUGAACCAGGGUUCUCCUCCUCACUUUGGACCCUGAUUGUACAAUGUAAAAGCAUAAACACAGAUCACAGGUUUUACUCAAUAUUGGCAGAUAAUUGUCAAACUUGACCUGUGUUAUUAAUCAGCGGUUGAAAUCCGUGCAGAUCUGUGAGCUGGGAUCCGUAUGGAUUGUGAAUCAACGCUGGUUUGUUAAACCAUUUAUUGUAAUUAAACCGCUACGUCCCAGCUAAAUUAUCCUCAGAGAUCGAGGACCACCAUUUGUCUUUUGUGCUCAGCAUCUCCAAUAGUGGUUCAUGUUUCCUGUCCUUUCUACUAGGUUUAUUCCUGGAUUCUAUUUUCGAGUAUGGUGACCAUCCUCCAGGACCCACUGACUGACUUGUGCUUCCCUAGUUUUCCUGGCCCAUGGACUUGACUCCAGCCUCAGGCUUCAAACGGAGGCCUGCUGCCUCCUCUUCUCCAAGUGGUGUUGGAGAGACUACCAGGAGCCGUCCUCCCUGCUCGCCUUCUUUCUCCCCGUCAUCGCCAUCGUCUGAUCCGUCCUCGCCCGUGUCCACAUCCUCCUCUCGCUGCGGCAACUCGUCACUUCAUCAGAACCAUGUAAAAGGUCGGAGCCGGGGGUCGGAGGUGGCCAGGGUGUCCUCCACUUCUGCCUCUGCAGCAACGCAGUCUCUCUCCAUACUUUCAUCCAACACCACCUCCUCCGAACUCUUCCCCCACAGUUCAGUUCAGCUACGGCUUGAUUGUGAAGAAGCAGGCCUGAAAAGGGAGAUGUAUGAUCCUUUCCACCCAACUGAGGGAGUGAAGGAGGAGGACGGAGAUGGCGAGAAAUACGACCCCUUUGACCCCACAGGUUCCCCAGCAUCAGAAGACGAUGAUGACAAUAGAAGGGGCAAAGUGAGGGGGGUGAAGAGAAAUGCUGCAAGUGAUGAGGAAAAAGACGAAGAACCUCCAGAUUCCACUCACGCCGCAAGUGACCAGAACAGCCCCCGCCGGUCUACCCAGCGCCCCCUGAGACGGAGAGUGGAAUGUAGCUCUGCCAAAGGCGGGAAGCAGAGGUUUGCUGACUCCGAUCACUCUGAGAUCGAGGAGGGGGAGAUAGUCGGGCUAGUCGACAGAGAUGGAGGCAACCGGAGAUCAGCUGGAGAGAUCCCCACCGUGCAUUCUCCCAGCGUUUCCUUCUUUGGGUCAAAGCCAGAACGCAUCCUCCGGGUGCUGGACGGGGACGGCUUUGUGUCCGUCCGCACAGAGAGCAACUGGGAGGUGGACAUGGAGCCUGAGGAUGAGCCCGUGGUAGGAGUGGAGGAUCUGAGAAGGAAGUUGGUCAGCAGGCGGAAGGAAAGGUAUCUCUCCUUUCCUGCUUCCUCUCCCCUCUCUCCUCAGCCACCGCCUCCCUCCCAUCCUCCAGCUUCUGCGCCCUCCUCCCCGCUCACACCUCAGAUAGAAAAGGUCACCAAGAACCGCAAGUCCUCCAAGAGUUCCAAGGACGCCAACCGACAGAAAAGCAAGGAUAGGAAGGCUGGGGAGAAGGAAGAAAGAAGAAAGAAGAGUAGGAAAGACAAAGAGGGAGAUAGGGAGAGGAGCAAAGAACAGGAGCGAGGGCACAAGAGCAGAAAGGAAGCUAAAGGAAGGAGGAGCAGCAGGAGCAGUAGCCGGAAGAGGAAGAAAAGACAGCACAGCAGUCCAGAGGGCCCACGGUCCUGCAACUCUUCAGGAAGAGGGGGCCAGACCAGACCGCCUUUCUCAAGCCCAUCUGAAGAGAGACAUAAAGAGAAGGAGCGGGAGAAAGACCGAAGCAGAGACAGGGGAAGAGAGAAAGACAGGGAUAGAGACAGGGCGCCAAGUCGGACGAGUAGCCAUAGAAGAGACGAAAGAGAGCGAGAUUCCAGCUCCAGAAAGGAUGACCUGGGGAAGAAGGGAAGACAACAUUCAAGCAGCAGAGAGCGAGGCAUUUCAAAGAGGUCCAAAAGAAGCAAGGACACGAGGGACGGCGACCGAGACCGGCAGCGUGACCGGGAACGGCGUCGGGACGGCCGUCCUGUUGUCCCGCCAUCCAUCCAAGACCUCAAUGGCUCUGAUCUAUUUGCCAUUAAGAGAACUAUCACAGUCACCACGACCACCACCACCACCACCGUACCCGGCUCCCCGAGACUCGCCCCCCCCUCGCCGUGUCGACCUUCACAGGACUCUGAAAAGCCCCACAAGAGGAAGAAGAAGAGGAAAUGGCACUCAGCCGGAGAGAUGGACGACCGUGGAAGUUGUCACAGCCAAUCGCAGUCAAUCUCCCCACCAAGGUAUCACAGCUACGAGUCGGACCGCUAUUCGGACAAAUUGGAGAUAGACGUGUUGUCUUUGGAUGGUGAGGCUUUAGACUCAGACUACCCAUCUCUUGAGGAUACACCCCCUGCUGCCCUGCCACCAGAACCACCGGUCCCCAGUCCUAAACCUAAAGCUGUCCCCAAGACUGGAAGACGUCACCCGAAAAAGAAAUCUCACGCAUUGAAGAAAAUGGACCAGUCCUCGUCUUCCUCUAAAGGCCAAUGUCUCUCCUCACUGACAGUCACCUCAGGCUCGGCUACUGCCUCCUCGGGCCUCCCUUCAGCAAAGCGAGCCAGAAAGAUGGGAAAGGACAAAGACCGGGACAAAGGAAGCAGGAAGGAUUUGGGCCACUCCGCCAAACACAAGAGAGAGAGCGGCGGCGGUCGGAAAGGCAAGCUUCAGUCGAAGGUGUCCGUGCUGGUGCGUGAGGGCGUGAGCAGCACCACAGGGACCUCCGUCGGACCUGGAAAGCUGGGCAUGGACCUAUUGGGGCC